GUCCUCAGCUAUCAAGUGGGAUGAUACUGGAGCAAGCCUCAUGGGAUUGCUGAGAAGAUGAAAUGAGUCCUCACUCAUCAGAAGGCUCUAAAGCAGUGCACAGCUCGGAAAAAGCACACUAUGGAGGUUGCUGGCACAGAAAAGAAUUUUAUGACUGAAAUAUCGAAAGUGGAGAUGCUGAAGAAUUCUUUGGCUUUAAAAAAUGAAUUGGAGUACAAAAUGAGGCCCUGUCUGACAACUGGACUUCAUGUGACAAUCAGAACAUUCCAGCACAGAUAUGUACCUCUUAAGAUUCAAAAUGCUUAAAGUGCCUAGAACCACGCCAGCACAAAGAGGCCCAAUGAGUUAAAGUUGAAUGAAUGAAUGGAUCAAUCAGUUAACCAGCCAACCAGCCAAAACUAAGACUGAAAACAGAUGGGUUUUUGCUUCUGUAUUCAGGUAAUUGUUUAAAUUUUGUUUUCUGACAUCCCCAUGGAAAAAGUAGAUGUUUAUUCUGAGCACUGUUCUCCACGGUGACUAGGUAACAUUGAUAUUUGUGCUUCAUGUGGCUACAACCCAAUGCUGUGCAUUUCUAAAUAAUGUAUCUUUUUAAUAUAUUGAUGUGCUUCUGCUAACUAAAUGCUAUAGCAUUGUCAUUGAGUAUUAACAAGCAAUGAUAUGUCAAUCCAGGAUGAACCGUGGCAGGUGAAUAUUUCUAGCAAUCCUGUACUUUUUAGUCCGCCAGUGCUGUUCACGGGUAACCAAGGUCAAGACCUACUGGUUUAGUAGAGGACAGAUGCACAAGGAGCAAAAGCACAAAGCAAUGGGACACUGGCCAUGACAACCGGCAGGUGUGAGCUGGAAAAUGAUGCCAUUGCUCUUCAGUGCAUAACUACAAUACAGAGAGAAAGACUUGCAGGCUAAAUCAGCUGGUGGCACAAGAGAUAAUAUGUUGCAUCUAUUUAUCACUACUCUCCAAAAAGCAGACAAAAAUAGCAAAUAUCAUUCAUUUAAUGAUUGUUUUCCCUGUGUGGUAAAUGAAUGGUCUUAUUUUUCUACAUAAACCAGGAAUUGAA